rnacentral:rRNA from 1 species
CAAUAGCGUAUAUUAAAGUUGUUGCAGUUAAAAAGCCCGUAGUUGGAUUUCGGGGUGGCCUGGCUGGUCCGCCGCAAGGUGAGUACUGGUCAGCCGCCCUUCCUCUCGAAAGCCCCGACUGCUCUUUACUGCAGUGGUCGGGUAGUUCGGGACGUUUACUUUGAAAAAAUUAGAGUGUUCAAGGCAGGCUAUCGCCUGAAUACAUUAGCAUGGAAUAAUGGAAGAGGACCUCGGUCCUAUUUUGUUGGUUUCUAGGGCCGAAGUAAUGAUUAAGAGGGACAGUUGGGGGCAUUCGUAUUUAAUUGUCAGAGGUGAAAUUCUUGGAUUUAUGAAAGACGAACUAGUGCGAAAGCAUUUGCCAAGGAUGUUUUCAUUAA